rnacentral:rRNA from 1 species
GAUGAACGCUGGCGGCGUGCCUAAUACAUGCAAGUCGAGCGAACGGACGAGAAACUUGCUUUUCUGAUGUUAGCGGCGGACGGGGGAGUAACACGUGGAUAACCUACCUAUAAGACUGGGAUAACUUCGGGAAACCGGAGCUUAUACCGGAUAAUAUUUUGAACCGCAUGGUUCAAAAGUGAAAGACGGUCUUGCUGUCACUUAUAGAUGGAUCCGCGCUGCAUUGGCUAGUUGGUAAGGUAACGGCUUACCAAGGCAACGAUGCAUAGCCGACCUGAGAGGGUGAUCGGCCACACUGGAACUGAGACACGGUCCAGACUCCUACGGGAGGCAGCAGUAGGGAAUCUUCCGCAAUGGGCGAAAGCCUGACGGAGCAACGCCGCGUGAGUGAUGAAGGUCUUCGGAUCGUAAAACUCUGUUAUUAGGGAAGAACAUAUGUGUAAGUAACUGUGCACAUCUUGACGUUACCUAAUCAAAAAGCCACGGCUAACUACGUG